GGGAAUGUGGCUUAGUGGUAGAGUGUUUGCCUAGCACGCAUGAAGCCCUGGGUUCGAUUCCCCAGUACCA
rnacentral:tRNA from 1 species